CACGAGAGCAACCAGCCAACCGAGCGAGCGUCUAGGACCCGGUGGCCCCUUCCUUCACGCGUUCCUGGAUGCGAAGGCACCCUCACGCAAGGCGUCAACGGCGCACUGAUGACGUCCGCCGUCCAGUCUCACUCUGCAUCCGACGUGGUGAUGGUGGGGCUACGCAGCGGGCAUCGACCAGCCAGUUUUCCCUUCCGCUGCGUUGGCACCGCAAGGACUGCAGCAGGCCUCCUGGCCACGUCUUCCAGCGCAAGUGCCACCAUGACGCCACGUCAAGCUGCACUCUGGGACCAGCAGCACUACCUGGCAACUCCAGUGUGCUACCGUGCUUCUGGUUCCGGCACGAAAGGCUGCGCUCCUGCAGAGCCAUGGCUUAUUUCUUGUCAUGUGCGUCGGCCAACAAUGGAGCACCGGCUUCAUUGUCACAGACUUCACCAUUGUCAUCUACGUGGAAAAGCUUCGCCUCACGUAGUGAAAGAGUUGACUCCGGUGAAGCGCGUUGCUCAUGGAAAGAUGGCGACCGGUCAAAAGAAGCCGUUCCAGUCCAGGGGGUGAUGGCCUUGACCCGUCCAUAUAGUUUUCAACCGCAACUAUUCGGAGGCGGCCUGCAGUGGCGUGGUCCAAGCACUUACCCGAUGUAUUGCGUACAGCAAGAUAAGGACGGCGGCAAGGAUCGGCAUGCCCUGAGCAUGUUCUGCUAUCUGGAGGAAGACACGGCUGAAGUGGUGUUCCUUCCCAAGCCUCCCUUCCCAACUCCGCAGCCUGCUCCACAUGCUUGUGACCUACGUGGACGACGUCGGCUGAGCUGUUGGGCAGCUUCUCCUUCUGCUGCCACGCAUUCCUGCUCUGGUGCCAUCAUUGUUAUGUUGUCGAUGCUUUCACUCUCCGGGGCGGAUGUUUUUGGAGAGUGGCGUUGAUAUGAUUCUUCAAUAUACACUUGUACGAAGGAAAUUGCGAUUUUAUAACAUUUACAAUAAAGGAGGUAUUUAUUUUCCUAUCGCA